rnacentral:lncRNA from 1 species
GAAUUGAUUACUCGUGAUUCAUAAUCACUAUUCAACCAUCGGAUCGGUCAAUACUUCUAGUGUGUGUGACCCCAUAGGUUCUAUUCUGACUGGUAGUGAGAUAUAUUGUGAUCUCUAUCAUAAUAUCAUUGAAAACUCCUUUCAAUGGGUUGGAACGAUUCCAACUCAACUCAUUAGGGUUUAUCGAUCAUCGAGAGAAUCCCUAUAAGUCCCACCAUCCACCAGUGACACCUAGCAGCAUGUAGUAGCCACCCAGCAGAAUGGAAUGAUGAACCUCUAGGUGCAGUUGUCGUGUGAUACAGUCCUUCUAUCGUGGAUCCCUACAGACCGGAGGUCAUGGAUAACUCGUCAAACCUCGUUGUCUGUCAUAUGUCUAGAUUUAUUCGACUUGAGUUCGAGAGUAGAAAACUCUUUUUCACUAUAUAUUGUGCCCUGGCCAAGGUCUUAGAACUCAGUCUAAUAAAUCACAUAGGAUCACUCCUCAUCUAUCAAGGUCGAUAGAUUCCUUGUAGAUGCGUACCCUACUCCUACAGUGAACUUACUGCAGCCAAUCUAUACUACAAAGACCCAUAUGACUAGAGACCAUGUGUAUGUCCAGUCAAACUACAAUUACCUUACUGUGAGUAGCCAAAGCACCGCAGGUCAAAGGACCAGUCACACUACUGCAACAUCAA